CGAAAGCCUGACGGAGCAAUACCGCGUGAGGGAGGAAGGUUCUUGGAUUGUAAACCUCUUUUCUCAGGGAAGAAAAAAAUGACGGUACCUGAGGAAUAAGCAUCGGCUAACUCCGUGCCAGCAGCCGCGGUAAUACGGAGGAGGCAAGCGUUAUCCGGAAUUAUUGGGCGUAAAGCGUCCGCAGGUGGCGAUUCAAGUCUGCUGUCAAAGCACGGGGCUUAACUCCGUAAAGGCAGUGGAAACUGAAUAGCUAGAGUGCCGUAGGGGUAGAGGGAAUUCCCGGUGUAGCGGUGAAAUGCGUAGAGAUCGGGAAGAACAUCGGUGGCGAAAGCGCUCUACUGGACGGCAACUGACACUCAGGGACGAAAGCUAGGGGAGCG
rnacentral:rRNA from 1 species